AGUGAAUAGAUACCCCGGUAGUCCUAGCCGUAAACGAUACUCGCUAGGUGUCGGCCACGGUGCGACCGUUGUCGGUGCCGUAGGGAAAGCCGUGAAGCGAGCCACCUGGGAAGUACGGCCGCAAGGCUGAAACUUAAAGGAAUUGGCGGGGGAGCACCACAACGGGUGGAGCUUGCGGUUUAAUUGGAUUCAACGCCGGAAAUCUUACCGGGACCGACAGCAAUAUGAAGGCCAGGCUGAAGACUUUGCCGGAUUAGCUGAGAGGUGGUGCAUGGCCGUCGUCAGUUCGUACUGUGAAAGCAUCCUGUUAAGUCAGGCAACGAGCGAGACCCACGCCCACAGUUGCCAGCGUACUCUCUGGAGUGACGGGUACACUGUGGGGACCGCCGCUGCUAAAGCGGAGGAAGGAAUGGGCAACGGUAGGUCAGUAUGCCCCGAAUAUCCCGGGCUACACGCGAGCUACAAUGGUUGGUACAAUGGGUAUCUACCCGAAA
rnacentral:rRNA from 1 species